rnacentral:rRNA from 1 species
UAAGUUAGAUGUGAAAGCCCCGGGCUCAACCUGNNGAUUGCAUUUAAAACUGUCAUGCUUGAGUCUUGUAGAGGNAANUGGAAUUCCAGGUGUAGCGGUGAAAUGCGUAAAUUUCUGGAGGAAUACCGGUGGCGAAGGCGACUUCCUGGACUUAAACUGACGCUCAGGUGCGAAAGCGUGGGGAGCAAACAGGAUUAGAUACCCUGGUAGUCCACGCCGUAAACGAUGUNGANUUGGAGUCUGUUUAUUUGAGACGGGGCCUCCGGAGCUAACGNUAUACAUCCACCCUGUGGAGAGCGCGGCCGCGAGGUUAAAACACAAAUGAUUUGGCGGNNGCCCACACAAGCGGUAGAGCGUGUGUUUUAUUUCGAUGCAGCGAANAAAACCAUACCUGGUCUUGAUAUGUCUGGAAGCCUGCAGAGAUGCUGNAGUGCCUUUUNUCAACCAGAACAUACAG